UCUGUGAUAACUUCCCUACUAAGAUAAAAGAUAUUGUUGGAAAAUCAAUUAUUUAAAGGUUCAGAUAAUACAUGAUAAUUUCUUGCUCAACAUCAACGUCUUCUUUGCGACAGAUGCUUUUGAUUCAGUUCUAAGUGGAUCGUGGAGCACAGAUACUUCGAAAAUUGAUCUUACCAAUUCCAGCUAUGGGACAGCAAUGGUUGAAAUAAUUCAGAGUGGUGAAACACCUGUUUCUGCAAAGUCUAGCAACAAGAAAAUUAAGAUGGAGCCUUGAUGCCAGCGGUUGCUUCACUGGUUCACUCCUUUCAUAACUCUGUCAUGGAGAUGCGGCUCUGUUGUUUUCCUAUUAAAAUUUUGUAUUGUUGUCCAAAAUGUGUCUGGGCAACACUGUAGAUUUCUUCGUUGAUGUUAUUUGUUUGGUUUCGCUGAAUGUUUUUCUCCAGUUGCUUAUGCAAUUUGCUUUGAACUAAGGCAGUACCAUUUGGUAAUAAUAUGUCGAAUAUGGAACAUGUUUUGUGAUUUUA